UACGGAGGGGGCUAGCGUUGUUCGGAAUUACUGGGCGUAAAGCGCACGUAGGCGGCUUUGCAAGUUAGAGGUGAAAGCCCGGGGCUCAACUCCGGAAUUGCCUUUAAAACUGCAUCGCUAGAGUUGUGGAGAGGUAAGUGGAAUUCCGAGUGUAGAGGUGAAAUUCGUAGAUAUUCGGAAGAACACCAGUGGCGAAGGCGACUUACUGGACACAUACUGACGCUGAGGUGCGAAAAGCGUGGGGAGCAAACAGGG
rnacentral:rRNA from 1 species